AAGGAUCGAACGAAAACUGUACUGAGGCGAAUAUAAGUACCUUGAUAUCACGUAGUAAGUUCCAGAUGGGAGGAAGAGAACUCAAACCUCUUAUAACACUCCCAAAAGCCUUCAGAAUCCAUCGUAGGACUCGAUUGCUGUAAGAAAGGGUUGAAUGCUGUACUGAGACGAAAAAAGUACCUCGAUAUCACGUAGUAAGUUCCAAACCUCUAAAAACACUCCCAAAAGCCUUCAGAAUCCAUAACGAGACCCGGUUGCAGGAAGAAAGGAUUGAAUACUGAGACAAAUAUAAGUACCAAAAUAUAACGUAGUAAGUUCCAAACCUCUAAAAACACUCCCAAAAGCCUUCAGAAUCCAUAACGAGACCCGGUUGCAGAAAGAAAGGAUUGAAUACUGUAUGAGACGAAUAUUACCAGCUAGAUAUCACGGAAUUCAAGCGAUCUAUUUCCUAGUUUUGAUGUGGCGUGAAAAAACAAACGAUCUACGACACUGACUUUGGCUUUUGGCUUUCACUGAAGGAGUAGGAAUUUGUGGAUGAUGUUUUUUUUUUUUUUGUUACUAUAUAGUCUUGAUUUUUUUUUUUUUUAUAUAGUUAUGAGGGAAAGGGGUCGAAUUCUAGCUUGGGUUCUGCUUUCUCACUCUGAAACACAUACACACACACACUCACCGAACCUUAAUCCUACACUUGGUAAAAACACAUCGAACACACACACACACACACACACACACACACACACACACACACACACACACACACACAUCCCGUUUUCCUUAAUACUUAACACCGUUUUCUUUGACUCAAACACAUCACGCACGAAACGAAAACAUCACGACGGAUUUUCAUCAUCCUUGCGAUUUUUUUUUUUAUAACAAUAACCACAAUUUUCUGAGGCUUUUUGACAUAUAUUUUUGGGGUAACGGAGGAGGAGGAGGAGGAGGAGGAGGAAGGGCAUGGAAGGGAAGGGAAAGGAAAAGAAGGAAAAGGAAGAUAAAGAUGAUGGGUGUAGGGAAGGAUAGGGAAGGAAAGGGAAAGGAAGGGAAAGGAAAAGAAGGAAAAGGAAGAUGAAGAUGAUGGGUGUAGGUGAAGACUAUAGGAAGGGAAGGAAAGGGAAAGGAAGGGAAGGAAAGGGAAGGGAAAGGAAAAGAAGGAAAAGGAAAAUUAAAAUGAUGGGUGUAGGUGAUGAAUAUAUGAAGGGAAGGAAAGGGAAGGGAAAGGAAGGGAGGGGAAGGAAAAGGAAGGGAAGGGAAGGGAAAGGAAGGAAAAGGAAGGGAAGGGAAGCGAAGACGAGGCAAGAUUUAAGAAAAGGGAAGCAAAGAAGAGAUAUUGAAGGAAAGGAAUAUAGGGACAGUUGUAAAUAGGGACAGGUGUGUUUAAGGGACAGGCGUGUAUAAGGACAGGUGUAUAUAGGGACAGCUGUAUAUAGGGACAGGCGUGUAUAAGGACAGGUGUAUGUAGGGACAGCUGAAUAUAGGGACAGGUGUAUAUGAGGACAGGUGUAGAUGAGGACAGGUGUAUAUAGGAACAGGUGUGUUUAAGGGACAGGCGUGUAUUGGGACAGGUGUAUAUGAGGACA